rnacentral:rRNA from 1 species
AGUGAACGCUGGCGGUAGGCCUAACACAUGCAAGUCGAACGGCAGCACAGUAAGAGCUUGCUCUUACGGGUGGCGAGUGGCGGACGGGUGAGGAAUACAUCGGAAUCUACUUUUUCGUGGGGGAUAACGUAGGGAAACUUACGCUAAUACCGCAUACGACCUACGGGUGAAAGCAGGGGAUCUUCGGACCUUGUGCGAUUGAAUGAGCCGAUGUCGGAUUAGCUAGUUGGCGGGGUAAAGGCCCACCAAGGCGACGACCCGUAGCUGGUCUGAGAGGAUGAUCAGCAACACUGGAACUGAGACACGGUCCAGACUCCUACGGGAGGCAGCAGUGGGGAAUAUUGGACAAUGGGCGCAAGCCUGAUCCAGCCAUACCGCGUGGGUGAAGAAGGCCUUCGGGUUGUAAAGCCCUUUUGUUGGGAAAGAAAAGCAGCAGGUUAAUACCCCGCUGUUCUGACGGUACCCAAAGAAUAAGCACCGGCUAACUUCGUG